UCCUACCCCCUUCACGUAAAUAUUGCUUUAUGUACCUCUGAGUAAUCACUGAACUUUGAUGCACAAGGCUGGUAAUUCCACACUACACUUGUCAAAUAAUUCUGGUAAGUGUUUGGGUGCUGGUAUUGGCCAGGGACCCAUUGAAGGCCUUAGGGAGCUUUGCCGCACCCAGACCAUGGCAAAGGCUCUGAAACUCGAAAGGAGUGAGGUUGGAAGAAUGGGCCUGACUGAAGGCUCCCUAUGGAAUAACUUCUUCUUUUCUUUAUUACUGUAAUUCAG
rnacentral:lncRNA from 1 species